CUCCCUCCCAUCUGCCCUUCGGCAGCGGCUGGGCCUGCGACCUGCUUCUGACCCUGCUGCAGAGAAGAUGUUGAUCUCCUGUUACUGGAAAACAGGAAUUAGCUUGUCUGUUUGAGGAUGUGGUUGGAGCUUUAUAAAAAGGAUAUAGAAGAAAUCUGUGCAGACUGCCAGCUCCGUUAUGCUGCCGACCGCUUCCAGCAGAAGGAGGACCUUCGCGGCCAGAUAUUUCAGAAGCUCUGGCGAUGAUGCCAUGGAUUUGAGACCUCAACCAGGGCGCCAGCUCCAAUGGCAAAGACUUCCCAAGUGUCAGUGUGGCUCCACCAGCAGCCACCACCGAGUGAAGCCUGUAGGAUUUCAGGGCCAUCUGGAAGCCAUCCACUCUGCUCAACUCUUCAGAGUGAUCCCAAGACGUGGGGGCCACCAUGAGUCCAGAAGAGACCUAGAGGUUUAGGCCGGGGGACAACACAGUCCCCACCUCUUGCUCACUGACACUGUGUCUGGCCCACACACUGGGCUCCCAGGAGGGAGGAGGAGGCUGUGUUACAACUGGAUCCAGAUCCAACGUAGGAGGCAGGGUUGGCAACUGCAGUGUCACUAAAUGGUGUCCAAGGCGGACAAAGAGGAAAUGAAGACCUCAACUCACCGGCCGCUUCCCCCAAACGCAUACAGUCGGUCCGUAGAGUCAACGCUCAUCACAGAGAAACAUCAGUGAGCAGCACAGGCAGAUCACAAAUAAGGAAGCAGCUGCAGUUUGUGGAGCUGAUGGGACACUGCUGUAAUGAAGAUCCACUCACAGAACAGGGCUGGAUUUUACGGAUCCGCUGGGGUGGGCUGAUGUCUGGCUGAUCGUUAUCUCAGGGCUGCUUGCAGAAUAGCUCUGGAGACACCCUCAUUGCUUGAGGAGACUAUUCAGGCUCCCUGAGACCAUUGUCCCUGUAUGGAGCAGUCUCACUCUAGUGCAGACUUUGCGGGAAUCCAGCUGACCACAGGUCGAGGACAAUGACUGGGGACUUCAGGGUGCUCAUGGAUGGUUGAAUGUCUCCAUAAAUCUCUUAUCUCAGUGUUCUGGGCUUAAAGGGGGAUGAGAUAGGCUUUGUAAAUAUAGGGCUAAUCUGGCUUUUCCAUCCACAUUCUCGAAGUGACCACCAGGCCUGUGUGCAGAGCCCAGCGUGUCCGGUAAUAAACAAAGCUCAGGCUUUG